rnacentral:misc_RNA from 1 species
UGAAUUAUUUCCCAAGGAUUUUGGUGGGCGUCCUAUUCCUAGGCCCAUAAUUGAAGUUCCUUAUCAUGGGUUUGACAAUCGUGUUGAAAAUGGUGUGUCAAAUGAGAACAAACAUUAGUCAGUCAUCUUAUUAUCUGUGGAGUAGGAGGCUAAUCCAAGUUUAGCAUUCUAUUUGUAAGUUAGUUAGCAUUAGAUUAGAACUGACAGAUGAAUUAAUUUGAUUUAUGAGCCCCUGGA